rnacentral:rRNA from 1 species
UACGUAGGGUGCAAGCGUUGUCCGGAAUUAUUGGGCGUAAAGAGCUCGUAGGCGGUUUGUCGCGUCCGCUGUGAAAACUCAGGGCUUAACCCUGAGCCUGCAGUGGGUACGGGCAGACUAGAGUGUGGUAGGGGGAGAUCGGAAUUCCUGGUGUAGCGGUGGAAUGCGCAGAGUAUCAGGAGGAACACCGGUGGCGAAGGCGGAUCUCUGGGCCAUAACUGACGCUGAGGAGCGAAAGCAUGGGGAGCGAACAGG